rnacentral:antisense_RNA from 2 species
UUCAACGGCGGGUCUUGGCAGAGAAGCCUUCGGGCUUGCCGAUGGUCGUUGCUUUCUCGGUACUUCCCACUUUGUCAUGCACCCGCCACCUCA